rnacentral:rRNA from 1 species
CCUACGGGUGGCAGCAGUGAGGAAUAUUGGUCAAUGGGCGCGAGCCUGAUCCAGCCAAGUAGCGUGAAGGAUGACUGUCCUACGGGUUGUAAACUUCUUUUAUAAAGGAAUAAAGUGAGGCACGUGUGCCUUUUUGUAUGUACUUUAUGAAUAAGGAUCGGCUAACGCCGUGCCAGCAGCCGCGGUAAUACGGAGGAUCCGAGCGUUAUCCGGAUUUAUUGGGUUUAAAGGGGGCGUAGAUGGGUUGGUAAGUUAGUUGUGAAAGUUUGCGGCUCAACCGUAAAAUUGCAAUUGAUACUGGCAGACUUGAGUACAGUAGAGGUAGGCGGAAUUCGUGGUGUAGCGGUGAAAUGCUUAGAUAUCACGAAGAACUCCGAUUGCGAAGGCAGCUUACUAAACUGCCACUGACAUUGAUGCACGAAAGUGUGGGUAUCAAACAGGAUUAGAUACCCGGGUAGUC